rnacentral:rRNA from 1 species
AGAAUCAACGCUGGCGGCGUGCCUAACACAUGCAAGUCGCACGAGAAAGUGGAGCAAUCCAUGAGUAAAGUGGCGCACGGGUGAGUAACACGUGAAUCAUCUACCUCCGAGUGGGGAAUAACUGAGAGAAAUCUUGGCUAAUACCGCAUAAUACCCACGGGUCAAAGCAGCAAUGCGCUUGGAGAGGAGUUCGCGGCAGAUUAGCUAGUUGGCGGGGUAAUGGCCCACCAAGGCGAUGAUCUGUAUCCGGCCUGAGAGGGCGCACGGACACACUGGAACUGAAACACGGUCCAGACUCCUACGGGAGGCAGCAGUGGGGAAUUUUGCGCAAUGGGGGAAACCCUGACGCAGCAACGCCGCGUGGAGGAUGAAGCCCCUUGGGGUGUAAACUCCUUUCGAUCGGGAAGAUUAUGACGGUACCGAUAUAAGAAGCCCCGGCUAACUUCGUGCCAGCAGCCGCGGUAAUACGAGGGGGGCGAGCGUUGUUCGGAAUUAUUGGGCGUAAAGGGUGCGUAGGCGGUUUGGCAAGUCUUAUGUGAAAUCUAUGGGCUCAACCCAUAGCCUGCAUGAGAAACUGCCGGGCUUGAGUAUGGGAGAGGUGAGUGGAAUUUCCGGUGUAGCGGUGAAAUGCGUAGAUAUCGGAAGGAACACCUGUGGCGAAAGCGGCUCACUGGACCAUAACUGACGCUGAGGCACGAAAGCUAGGGGAGCAACAGGAUUAGAUACCCUGGUAGUCCUAGCCCUAAACGAUGAUUGCUUGAUGUGGCAGGUACCCAAUCCUGCUGUGUCGAAGCUAACGCGAUAAGCAAUCCGCCUGGGGAGUACGGUCGCAAGGCUGAA